rnacentral:rRNA from 1 species
AGAGUUUGAUCCUGGCUCAGGAUGAACGCUAGCGGCAGGCUUAAUACAUGCAAGUCGAGGGGCAGCAGGACUGUAGCAAUACAGUUGCUGGCGACCGGCAAACGGGUGCGGAACACGUACGCAACUUACCCAAAACUGGGGAAUAGCCCGGGGAAACCCGGAUUAAUACCUCGUAACAUAAUGAAGUGGCAUCACUUUAUUAUUAUAGCUCCGGCGGUUUUGGAUGGGCGUGCGCCUGAUUAGGUAGUUGGCGGGGUGACGGCCCACCAAGCCUACGAUCAGUAACUGGUGUGAGAGCACGACCAGUCACACGGGCACUGAGACACGGGCCCGACUCCUACGGGAGGCAGCAGUAAGGAAUAUUGGUCAAUGGACGCAAGUCUGAACCAGCCAUGCCGCGUGAAGGAUGAAGGUCCUCUGGAUUGUAAACUUCUUUUAUAUGGGAAGAAAUCCAUCUUUUCUUGGGUGGUUGACGGUACCAUAGGAAUAAGCACCGGCUAACUCCGUGCCAGCCGCCGCGGUAAUUC